UCCGUAGGUGAACCUGCGGAAGGAUCAUUAAUGAAUUAAAGUCGGUCUUCUGUGCUGGUGGUGACACAUGUGCACGUUGAUCGCAAAUCCACACACCUGUGCACCUUUGACUUUAGGAUCCGCUUGUUGGCUUGUCUGACUUGCAGCUGAUGUUGGUUUUGUGCUCAUCUGGAUCUUAGAGUAAUUUUACACACUCUGAAUGUAAUGGAAUGUUCCUGUGCAUAAUGCGCAAAAUACAACUUUCAACAACGGAUCUCUUGGCUCUCGCAUCGAUGAAGAACGCAGCGAAAUGUGAUAAGUAAUGUGAAUUGCAGAAUUCAGUGAAUCAUCGAAUCUUUGAACGCACCUUGCACCCUUUGGUAUUCCAAAGGGUACACCCGUUUGAGUGUCAUUGUAAUCUCACUUCAUCAGCUUUUGUUGAUGGAGGUGGACUUGGACUCUGUUGUGUCAUUACAACUGGUCUGAAAUGUGUGAGUGCACCCUGCUGUUGCAGCGUCCUCAGUGUGAUAAGCAUCUUCACUGAAUCAAGUUCCUUUGGGACACGUGUGUAAUGUGGGCUCUGUGCUGGCAAACUGUCUUUGGACAAUCUUGACAAUUUGACCUCAGAUCGAGUGGGACUACCCGCUGAACUUAAGCAUAUCAAUAAGCGGAGGAAAAGAAACUAACAAGGAUUCCCCUAGUAACGGCGAGUGAAGAGGGAAAAGCUCAAAUUUUGAAUCUGGUGCCUUUGGCAUCCGAGUUGUAAUCUAGAGAAGUGUUUUCUGCCUUGGACCACACAUAAAUUCCCUGGAAUGGGGUGUCAUAGAGGGUGAGAAUCCYGUUUGUGGUGUGGACUACCUUGGCUCUGUGAUACACUCUCAACGAGUCGAGUUGUUUGGGAAUGCAGCUCAAAAUGGGUGGUAAAUUCCAUCUAAAGCUAAAUAUUGGCGAGAGACCGAUAGCGAACAAGUACCGUGAGGGAAAGAUGAAAAGCACUUUGGAAAGAGAGUGAAACAGUACGUGAAAUUGUUGAAAGGGAAGCGUUUGAAGUCAGUCACAUUGGUCAGAAUUCAGCCUGGCUUAUGCCUGGUGUACUUUCUGGCAAAUGGGUCAGCGUCAAUUUUGACCGAGGGAGAAAGACUUGAGGAAGGUGGCUGUCUUUGGGCAGUGUUAUAGCCUCUUGUUGUAAUGCUCGGUUGGGAUUGAGGAUCGCAGCACGCCUUAUGGCCGGGGUUCGCGCCCUCGGUACGUGCUUAGGACGCUG
rnacentral:rRNA from 1 species